rnacentral:lncRNA from 12 species
AUGUGGCUGACAAUAAGCAGCCUCCUCAGAAUGGUCCCUGCUUCUUCUUCCCCUGCCACCCCUCCACCACCCCCAAGUGAGGCAUCGGAGGUUGGAGCAGUAUGCAGAACCCUGAAAUGGAAACUAUCUGCACGCCUUUCUCACCCUUCCUCCACCAGGCCCCUCUGCGUGGCCAGCCUUGCCUGGGUAACCUUUCCGGGAGGGGAGCUUGUCAGACUUGCCUCUGCCUCAGCCUCUGUUCACACUCCACCUCGUCCUCCACACCCACCCCAAGCAGAGCCUCGGGGUCCCAGGGGAUCCACCAUCAGCCUGGACAAGUCAUGGGUCACCAGCCACCUCUCUUCUGUGCCUACACCCACUAAUCAUCUCUUCCUGGCAUCCUCUGCUCAGAGGGCAGCUAUUUACAAGAAGCUCUGGGCAGAGCCAUGAGCCAGGCUGUGACGUAGGAGCCAGAUGGCCAAGGGGAGAAGAGAAUCCCUCCCAGCCAGGUACUCUUUUGGCAUGGUGAACUGAGUGUCUCCAAAGUAACACCUCCCCCACAGAGUCACCAUGAGAAGCCAGGGAGCAAAGGAACCCCAAUACAGGAACCAGAUCUGAGGACUGGGAGAAAAUUGGGAAGGAUGUGGGGAGCAAUAGCAGACCCAGGGAAAGGAAGGAGACACCUGCAAGCUCUCAAGUUCCCGGACUAUCAGGGGCCAACACAAAUCCCAAAACUUGCUGUAAAAUAUUAUCUCAGGGUUCCCACAACAAGAAAACUGUUAAGAUCAGAGAGUCCCCUAUUCUAUAACUUUGCAGGCCUUCAGCAAUUAUCAAGUCUAGAACUCUGGUACACGUGGGAAAACUGAUGCCCCAACAGCCUCAUACCCCACAGCAAGUUAGGGGCAUAGUCAGGAAAGGUGCCCAGACACCUGCCUCUCAGUGUGGGACUCCCUAUAAGCCAAGAAUAAGGUGUGGGCAGGGUUUGGGGGAAACAUGAAGCAUGGCGGGGGGUUGAGCCUUAUGGAGCCCUAGAGGCCGGCAAGGCACAAACACCACAGAGGAAAGCUGGGGUGCCUAACAACAGACUCCUGAGGUGCAGUGGAGACACCGGUGUGGCUGUGACGGGGAAAGGACAACUGUGAAAGUGAAAUCUGCCGUUUCUGAGGGGAAACUGAAAUGUGGUCUCCAUUCCAUGCAAAUGACCUGUGGCCUUUGGUCCUGCACCUGCACAGCUCACAACAUACACAACACAGCGAUCGGAUGGGGCUUGAGUUCCCACGGUCUGCGCUCUAGAGAGCAGGAGCAGGGAGGCCUCGCCGGCUCUGGGAAGGAUGUGCUGGGAUGUCCAAGCUCCCUCUGUAGGCUGUCUGCUGAGCUAAGAGCAGACAGAGUCCUCCUUUGCACCUAGCUGAGAUGACCCUGCCAGGGACCACUUCCACUAGGGACAGCACUCCAGGUCGUCCAUGAUCAGCUCCCGAGUUACUGUCCUGCCACUGUCCUGCCACUCCCCCUUUUGUUCUUACCCCCAACACCCAGAAACCCUCACAUUUUUCACUCCUGUAAGAAUUUGCUCAUCCUGGGAGCCCCCUGAGACCAGGGAUGGCAAGCAUCUGACGUGCUUGCUACUCCCAUCCCAGUCAGAGCCCAGGGCAGACAUUGCUAAUCAAUCAUGAUUACCUUCCCCUUGGGAUCUCAGAAUGCUUCAUUCCUCAACAUAGGCACUGCCUGGCAACCCAGAUGGGCUCUCUUGAUGAGACUAGUGACCAUCCCUGUGAUGGGACGAUGCACAUGUGGCUCAGAUCUCAGCCAGGGGCUACUGGCCCCUCAGAUUUGGCUCCAACCCCUGGGUCUGUGCUUUCUGUUACUGCUGAGAGAUGUCAAGGCUGACUUUCUCAUGCUGCCUCGGCCUCACUCCUGAAACAACAUGCAGGGAAUGCAGAACCUUUCUCAGUCCACGUGCUCACACACACGUACGUAUACACCCACAAACACACUCACAGACGCUCACACACAUGUACACACUUGCACUACACAUACACACUCAUGUGUACAUGCAUACACAUUCACCCAUGCACACAGUUACACAGAGACAUUCUUAUGAAACAAUUUGUGAGUUUCUGGAACCUCAGUGAAGAUUUGGGGGCUACAGGGAGAUGUUACAUUACACAGAGAAUAGCCUUCAACUGUCCUUAUGGUUCCCUCUGCCCACUCUCUCUGUCUCCUCCCCAUCUCUUCCCUCCUUUCCUCUAGCACUGUCCCACCCCAGUGUCAAAUGUUUGUCUCUUUGUCUUGAACAGUCAUUCUGCCACCUGCUCUGGAGCUGGAGACAGUCUGUACCCAUCCCUGCAGACAUCAACUCCCCAAAUGGUGUUUCCCAAAAAGCCAUUUGAAUGACAUGUUUCUCCACCAUGUUUCAAAUAUUGUUAUAAAUAAAUGGAUGGCCAUGACAGAGGACA